AAUGUAUAAUUGUAGACCUGUAAAUAGAAUAGAAGGAAAUUUGUUGUAAUCACUAGGAAAUUUAAAGGAAGCAUAAGCCAAACACAAUGCGCAUGCCACUAUCGUAGUAAGAGGUCAAGAAUUAUUUACAUAGCAACAAAUUAAAGACCUCUAAGAAGGAAAGAAAGGUACCAAUACAUAUUUCUGUCAAGAAGAAAGGAAAUAAAAAGAAAGAAAAAAUAAAUCAAAAGAAAGAAAGGUCUCGAUUCAUCUCUCUUCUUCUUCUUCAAACCGAACAACACUCUUCCAAAUCCUAAACCAAACCAAAUUUCUAAUUCAUAUUGGUUCAGUUUGAUUUAAUGGUUAUCUGUACACGAACAACCUAAAUCUAUAUCCUUCUUUUGCUUUGAAUUACUCACUAUUUAUAUUAUGCUUUGCUAACAGUUCAGUAUUACUGCAAUUUUUGUCAUCAUUGCAUUCGUUUUACUAGUAACUACACAUCAUUCAAUGUUCACAUGUGCCCAUUCAGUAUAAUCUUCUUUACUUCAUCCACACUCCUAUGUUCUCAACAUUAUCUAAUUUAUCCAACACCUUGUUGCUCCUGCAUUCUCACCAUUGUCCAAUUCAUCCAUCUCAAAUUAGAGUUUUAAAUAACAGCAUGUCACCAAUGUUUCUUCCAUUUGACAAGAUAAAUGUAACAGCCAAAUAACUUUCAUCAAGUUCCACAUCAGAUUAACAUAAAUGACACCAAUUUACUGGAUCAAUAAGGGUGAUAUGGCUGUCAUUCUGUAAAUCCAAAUUCAAAUCCACAUCAGAAAGCCAUUUUUUUGCUGCAUAAUGGGCACAUGGGAUGCAACGGACAAUUUAAAACCUAGACAAAGAGCAAUGUUUUCUUCUUUUCAAGCAUGGCCCACAAUGUUAUUGUGUCCACCAGUUUAUGGAAAACUUGUAAAACCUGGUUUCAUCCUUGGCUCUCAACAACAUCAGAUUGUAACCACUAAAUACACCAGCUGUUAACAUCAUCAACAUCAUCGUCUAAUUUGACUUACACAUAACAUAAACAGCAAGAGACGAGUAAACAUAACUUGUACCAAAAACUAAUAGCAAAAUGAUAAAAGCAACAAGAAUUAGUUGUAAGUAAACAAAUAACAUAGCCGCAAAUGAAAAUCCCAUAUAUAUUUACCUAGGAAGAGAUACAUGUUUUCUUUCAAGUGGAAUUAUCGGCCCACUUUUACUACCAUUUUCCUCAAGAUGUGCAAA
rnacentral:misc_RNA from 1 species